rnacentral:rRNA from 1 species
ANAGUUUGAUGAUGGCUCAGAACGAACGCUGGCGGCGUGCUUAAUACAUGCAAGUCGAACGAGAAAGCCUGGCUUCGGUCGGGUGAGUAAAGUGGCGAACGGGUGAGUAACACGUGGAUAACUUGCCUCUAAAUCUGGGAUAAUUCUCCGAAAGGGGUUCUAAUACCGGAUAAGACCACAGAAGGGCAUCCUUCAGGGGUCAAAGGCGGGGCAACCUGCCGUUUAGAGAUAGAUCCGCGCCCCAUUAGCUUGUUGGUGAGGUAACGGCUCCACCAAGGCUCCGAUGGGUAGCCGGCCUGAGAGGGUGAUCGGCCACACUGGGACUGAGAUACGGCCCAGACUCCUACGGGAGGCAGCAGUAGGGAAUAUUGCGCAAUGGACGAAAGUCUGACGCAGCAACGCCGCGUGGGUGAUGAAGCUUCUUGGAGUGUAAAACCCUGUCAGUGGGGAAGAAACGUGCGAAGAGUCACUGCUUCGCGCCUGACGGUACCCACAGAGGAAGUCCCGGCUAACUCCGUGCCAGCAGCCGCGGUAAUACGGGGGGGACAAGCGUUGUUCGGAUUCACUGGGCGUAAAGGGCGCGUAGGCGGGCCUUCAAGUCGGAUGUGAAAACUGUCGGCUCAACUGACAGCCUGCAUUCGAUACUGUUGGUCUUGAGUACGGAAGAGGAGAGCGGAAUUCCAGGUGUAGCGGUGAAAUGCGUAGAUAUCUGGAAGAACACCGGUAGCGAAGGCGGCUCUCUGGUCCGAU